GAUGAAACGCUGGCGGCGUGCUUAACACAUGCAAGUCGAACGGACGGAUUGGAGCUUGCUCCAUGAAGUUAGUGGCGGACGGGUGAGUAACGCGUGGGUAAACCUGCCCUAUGCAGGGGGAUAACGUUUGGAAACGAACGCUAAUACCGCAUAACCUAGUUGGUUCGCAUGAACCGGCUAGCAAAGAUUUUUAUCGGCAUAGGAUGGACCCGCGUUGGAUUAGCUAGUUGGUGAGAUAACAGCCCACCAAGGCAACGAUCCAUAGCCGGCCUGAGAGGGUGAACGGCCACACUGGGACUGAGACACGGCCCAGACUCCUACGGGAGGCAGCAGUGGGGAAUAUUGCACAAUGGGCGCAAGCCUGAUGCAGCGACGCCGCGUGAAGGAAGAAAGUAUUUCGGUAUGUAAAACUUCUAUCAGCAGGGAAGAAAAUGACGGUACCUGACUAAGAAGCCCCGGCUAACUACGUGCCAAGCCGCCGCGGU
rnacentral:rRNA from 1 species